AUUGAACGCUGGCGGCAGGCCUAACACAUGCAAGUCGAACGAGUGGCGGACGGGUGAGUAAUGUCUGGGAAACCGCCUGAUGGAGGGGGAUAACUACUGGAAACGGUAGCUAAUACCGCGUACCAUCAGCUGUGCCCAGAUGGGAUUAGCUGGUUGGUGGUGUAACGGCUCACCAAUGCGACGAACCCUAGCUGGUCUGAGAGGAUGACCAGGCACCCUGGAACUGAGAGACGGUCCAGACUCCUACGGGAGGCAGCAGGGGGGAAUAUUGCACAAUGGGCGCAAGCCUGAUGCCGCCAUGCAGCGUGUAUGAAGAAGGCCUGCGGGUUGUAAAGUACUUUCAGCGGGGAGGCGUUACCCGCAGAAGAAGCACCGGCUAACUCCGUGCCAGCCGCCGCGGUAAUUC
rnacentral:rRNA from 1 species